rnacentral:rRNA from 1 species
GAUGAACGCUGGCGGCGUGCCUAAUACAUGCAAGUCGAGCGAACGGACGAGAAGCUUGCUUCUCUGAUGUUAGCGGCGGACGGGUGAGUAACACGUGGAUAACCUACCUAUAAGACUGGGAUAACUUCGGGAAACCGGAGCUAAUACCGGAUAAUAUUUUGAACCGCAUGGUUCAAAAGUGAAAGACGGUCUUGCUGUCACUUAUAGAUGGAUCCGCGCUGCAUUAGCUAGUUGGUAAGGUAACGGCUUACCAAGGCAACGAUGCAUAGCCGACCUGAGAGGGUGAUCGGCCACACUGGAACUGAGACACGGUCCAGACUCCUACGGGAGGCAGCAGUAGGGAAUCUUCCGCAAUGGGCGAAAGCCUGACGGAGCAACGCCGCGUGAGUGAUGAAGGUCUUCGGAUCGUAAAACUCUGUUAUUAGGGAAGAACAUAUGUGUAAGUAACUGUGCACAUCUUGACGGUACCUAAUCAGAAAGCCACGGCUAACUACGUGCCAGCAGCCGCGGUAAUACGUAGGUGGCAAGCGUUAUCCGGAAUUAUUGGGCGUAAAGCGCGCGUAGGCGGUUUUUUAAGUCUGAUGUGAAAGCCCACGGCUCAACCGUGGAGGGUCAUUGGAAACUGGAAAACUUGAGUGCAGAAGAGGAAAGUGGAAUUCCAUGUGUAGCGGUGAAAUGCGCAGAGAUAUGGAGGAACACCAGUGGCGAAGGCGACUUUCUGGUCUGUAACUGACGCUGAUGUGCGAAAGCGUGGGGAUCAAACAGGAUUAGAUACCCUGGUAGUCCACGCCGUAAACGAUGAGUGCUAAGUGUUAGGGGGUUUCCGCCCCUUAGUGCUGCAGCUAACGCAUUAAGCACUCCGCCUGGGGAGUACGACCGCAAGGUUGAAACUCAAAGGAAUUGACGGGGACCCGCACAAGCGGUGGAGCAUGUGGUUUAAUUCGAAGCAACGCGAAGAACCUUACCAAAUCUUGACAUCCUUUGACAACUCUAGAGAUAGAGCCUUCCCCUUCGGGGGACAAAGUGACAGAUGGUGCAUGGUUGUCGUCAGCUCGUGUCGUGAGAUGUUGGGUUAAGUCCCGCAACGAGCGCAACCCUUAAGCUUAGUUGCCAUCAUUAAGUUGGGCACUCUAAGUUGACUGCCGGUGACAAACCGGAGGAAGGUGGGGAUGACGUCAAAUCAUCAUGCCCCUUAUGAUUUGGGCUACACACGUGCUACAAUGGACAAUACAAAGGGCAGCGAAACCGCGAGGUCAAGCAAAUCCCAUAAAGUUGUUCUCAGUUCGGAUUGUAGUCUGCAACUCGACUACAUGAAGCUGGAAUCGCUAGUAAUCGUAGAUCAGCAUGCUACGGUGAAUACGUUCCCGGGUCU